rfam:Human gut metagenome DNA, contig sequence: F2-X_028647.
AACAACUGAUAACCCGAUAGGUAGAAUGAAGGAGUAACGCCCUGAAAUGCCUACUCUGAUACUUCGACCGGCUUCGGCUGUAAUGGCUGGAGUCUGGAGCUCGAUAAAGUCGGCGGAAGUUUGUCGUAACAGCGUGGCAACACGGCUGACGAAAGUGCAGUAGAGGUACUGUAUGCAGAUGACACAUAAAUUUCUACUUCU